CAUGCCCGCUGGAUUCAUCAUGCUUGUGCUGUUUCUGCUGAGUGUUGGACUGGACCUGGUCUCAGCCGCAAAGCUGGGUGUGGUCCAGACGGAGGGUGGGCCGGUCCAAGGAGUCAAUCGCGGAAUGGGGCUAUUCCGGAGCGUUGACAUCUUCAAAGGAAUUCCGUUUGCAGAUGUCCCUGGGAAAUGGGAGAAACCUAAACCUCACCCUGGCUGGAGCGGAGUUCUCCAGGCCGACAAGUAUCAGCCACGCUGCCUACAAGUGACACUGUUGCAGACAAAGACACAGGGCAGCGAGGACUGUCUCUAUCUCAACAUCUUCGUCCCUCAGGGACUCUCAUUGUCCACUGACCUCCCGGUCAUGGUCUACCUGUUUGGUGGCGCCUUCCUGUUGGGGGCGUCCAAUGACGUAGCCAUCCUCGGAGACUCACUGUACGAUGGGAAGGAGAUGGCUGACAGAGGUGGAGUCAUCGUGGUCUCUGUCAACUACCGAGUGGGGACGCUGGGAUUCCUUAGCAGCGGAGACUCCCGGCUGCCUGGAAACUACGGCCUGUGGGAUCAACACGCUGCCCUCUCCUGGGUUCGCAGGAACAUUGCAGCAUUUGGAGGAAAUCCUGACAACAUCACAAUUUUUGGUCAAUCCGCUGGCGCCGCCAGUGUGAGCUACCAGAUGCUGUCUCCUUAUAACAAAGGAAUGUUCCGCCGGGCGAUCACUCAGUGUGGUGUGGCCCUCUCUCCGUGGGCGCUCCAGAAGGAUCCAAUGUCAGUCACCAAGAAGAUUGCUCGUAAGGUCGGCUGCUGGAGGAGCAACGAGGACUUGAUGCUCGAGUGCCUCAAGAUGACUGACCCAGUUGGUCUCACCAUGGCAGGAAAGAUUGACAUCCUUCAGAUUCUCGGUGGUGUGGUCAUGGACCUCUUGGAACUUGCUCCUGUAAUCGAUGGGGACUUUAUUCCAGAACACCCCAGUAAACUUUUCCAUAAUGCGGCGCAGUUUGACUACCUAGCGGGCAUCAACAGCAUGGAUGGGCAUAUCUUUGCGGGCGUGGAUGUUCCCUCCAUCAACCAGAAGAACUCCAACACCACGGUGGCACAGGUCAAACGCUUCCUGGCUGGUCUGACCAAAGAGAAGGGAAAGUCUGCUGUCGAAUCCGCCUACAGUGUUUACUCCUCCCAAUGGGGAUCCAACCCAGACCCAGCAAUGGUGAAGAAGACCGUUGCUGACAUCGAGACAGACUUCCUGUUCCUGGUUCCAACUCAGAUCGCUCUGGAUCUACAUGCUAAUCACUCAGGUGAUGCCCGGACCUACUCUUACCUUUUCAACAUGAAAACUCGAAUCCCAGGAUUCCCCCGCUGGGUAGAAGCGGAGCACGCAGAAGACCUGCAAUACCUGUUUGGAAAGCCCUUCUCCACCCCGCUGGUCUACUUCCCCCGACACCGAGAUCUUGCAGGAUACAUGAUAGCGUACUGGACCAACUUUGCUCAGACGGGUGACCCCAGUGAGGGGAGCAGCCGAGUCCCUGUUGUCUGGCCGGCCUACACCAAAAACCACCGACCCUAUAUGGCUAUCAACCACCAGAUGGGCAAGACAUCUGUCAGCUACGACUUGAGGAGCAACUUUGUUUCCUACUGGAGAGAUCAGUACAGCGCGCUGCCCCCAGCCAAGUCACACGUGACGAGAUGAUUGUCACGUGGCAAGGGGACUGACGUGAUUGACACAUGACAGGAUGAUUGACCUGUGACUGAGACCAAAUCGUCAUGGGAGACACUCCCUGGAGCACCAUCCAUAUUCCAUACAACUCAGCUCUUGGGAUCAAGGAGAAACACAAAUCUUCCAAUGUGGAUAAGGUGCUGGUUCACAGGAAGCCUCAUCCAUAUUGCACAGGGC